rnacentral:lncRNA from 1 species
GGCAGAAGGAAAGUUGAGGAAAUCUCAAUCAAGAAAAAAAGUUUUAUUUCUUCAUCUAAAGAAAUAAAAUUAUUCUUUGAGUUUGCAAAAUUUGCUUUUGAAUAAAUUAUUAUCUUACAAAGGGAUCUGGAUAAUUCUGUGAAUUUGAAUGCUGAAAAUACUCACUAGUUUACACCCAAAAUCAUCGCUAGUUUAAACACCCAAAAACAAGAAUUUUUAUCAGUGGACUGUAAACAGGGAUGGAGAUAAGUAAGUUUAAACUUUGAGGAAAUUUUUCUUUUAAUUCCUUGAAUGCUAGCUAUUUUUGUCAUUAAACCUAGUUAAUAUCAAAGAUCACACACCUGUGCCAAUUGUGCCAAACUGCACCAAAUCAAAAAUGCUGCUAUAAACUGCUACAAAUUAUCAUUUUUCCCAUUUUUGUGCCAAAUUCAUGAUCUGCUGGCUCCUUGAAACAAGCAAUCACAAAACGUUUAAACAUAUUGAAAUCAUAAUAGAAAGUUAUCGCACACUUUUUCGAAGCACAGUAGAUCACUAUUGCUGCCCUUGGUCUGUUUACUGAUCUAUGACAUCAAACCAGUCAGAGCACAUUUUGAUGUAUGUGAUUAAAUUGAAGGUUGCUUCAUUACUUUUUUUGUUUUCAUCAAUUAAAUAUAAAUAUUGUUAUCCAAAACCUUUCAUGAAUAUAUUAACAUUAACUGCUAAAUAUUUUAAAAUGCUUUUUUGGAUUUUAAAAAAUAAGUGUAUGAACUCUAUUGGUUUGGCCAUGCUCAAG